UACGGAGGGUGCGAGCGUUAAUCGGAAUUACUGGGCGUAAAGGGUGCGUAGGUGGUUUGAUAAGUUGACUGUGAAAUUCCUGGGCUUAACCUGGGGUGGUCAGUCAAGACUGUUGAACUAGAGUAUGGGAGAGGGUAGUGGAAUUUCCGGUGUAGCGGUGAAAUGCGUAGAGAUCGGAAGGAACACCAGUGGCGAAGGCGGCUACCUGGCCUAAUACUGACACUGAGGCACGAAAGCGUGGGGAGCAAACAGG
rnacentral:rRNA from 1 species